rnacentral:rRNA from 1 species
CACGUAGGGGGCAAGCGUUGUCCGGAUUUAUUGGGCGUAAAGAGCUCGUAGGCGGUUCGGUAAGUCGGGUGUGAAACCUCCAGGCUCAACCUGGAGAGGCCACCUGAUACUGCUGUGACUCGAGUCCGGUAGGGGAGCGUGGAAUUCCUGGUGUAGCGGUGAAAUGCGUAGAUAUCGGGAGGAACACCAGUGGCGAAGGCGACUACCUGGCCUGUUCUUGACGCUGAGGCGCGAAAGCUAGGGGAGCAAACGGG